CGCAGAGAGACGGCGGGCGCUUGGUGGCGGCCCUGGCGGGUCCUGAAACUUUGAGGGAGUUAGCUUGAAGUUUUCCCGCUGGUUUAGGGAAAGCUACCGGCAGUUUCCGGGAAAGGAGACAAGAUUCUGGCUCUGGAAGUACGGGUUCGGAGACAGCGCUUCGGCCCGGGGAAUCCGCAGUCUGAAGCUGGAGACUACCCGAGCCGCGGGCGAACCUCCUCCGAGGGCUGGUCGGGAAGCCCUCCCGGAGGUGGGAAACCAAGGCCCGGCCUCCGGAGCCCCUCUAAAGAAGAUGACUCCAGAGCAGCCUUUGCUUGCUGUGCACGAGGCCCUGAGGAAAUGCUUUCCCGUGGUGGAGGAGCAGCAGGGCCUGUGGCAGAGCACGCUGAGGGACAGCCAGCCCCUCCUGGCCUCCCUCAGCAACCUGGCAGAGCAGCUGCAGGCGGCCCACAAUCUGCGGUUUGGGGACGUGCCUCCACUUCGGGCCUUCCCAGACUUAAAAGAGCGGCUGAGGCGCAAGCAGCUGGCGGCUGGCGACACUGUCUUGGACAAGUUAGGGGAGAGGCUAGCCACCCUCCUCAAGGUGCGUGACACCGUCAGCAGGCACGUGGAGCAGGUGCUUGAGAUCUAUGAGCAGCAUGCAGACUCGAUUGGCAUUGAUGCUGUUUUGCAGGCUUCAGUGGUCAGCCCUUCUGUGGCUGACAUGUUGGAAUGGUUGCAAGAUAUUGAGAGACAUUAUCGAAAUUCUUACCUGAAGAGGAAGUACCUCCUGUCCUCGAUCCAGUGGGGAGAUUUAGCAAACAUCCAAGCUUUGCCCAAGGCCUGGAACCAAAUUUCAGAAGAUGAACACCAAAGCCUUGUACAAGAUACCCUGUUGAAUGUUUCCUUCUUCCUGGAAGAGUAAGGAAGCCGUGUGUUUACCAGCAAACUAGGGGGACACAGUUGAAGACUGAUGUUGGUGCUUUCUGGACAAUGUAUGGGCAUCGAAUGGCUGUGUCAGUUGUUUACCCUCGUGAUCUGGGGGUGGACUAAGCUGUGGUGUGUGUGCUGCUGCCCAGCAUCACGAGAGAGGAGCGGGCCGCAUGUUGCCAGCUUGGGAAGAGACCCACGUUUGUGAAGUACGGUUUCUGGUGGACACGUAUUGCCUUUUGCAGCGACAGAAGAGUUGAAAAAUCCCCAGUCGAACCAUCUGAGGUCAGGGCAGUGUGUCAUUGUUUUCCAACUGCUGUAGCUCCAAGCCAUCAUGACAGUUUCCGGAGCCCGCCACCAGGGGGAGGUGGUGUAGCAUGAGUUAGGCUCAGAGCUUUGUCUUUGAGGAGUUGUCCUCCCACCCCGUCUGAGAGUAAGUGCCUGGGGGUAGCCAAGACUGCUAAAAUGACAGGGGUUUUGACCAAAGCUGGCGCCUGAUUUGCCACAUUCCUCUGAUCUUGGAGUAGCUGCACGGUGGGAGAAGACCGCCCAGAAUCAGGCCAUCAGGGCUACGUUUCUGAAGCCCAGUGCCUUCAUCUGUGAAAUGGUCGGGUACUUCCAGACCUGUCAGCUUCGGGGGCUGUGGACAAAUCUGGGUCAUUGGAUGUAAAGAGGUUUAAUAAAGAGUAUAGAUAUUUUUAAAAUGAAGAUGACUUUUUUCUUACUACAAAAGUGAUAUAUAUGCUUUUUAAAAAGUCAUAGGAAAACUGUAGAAAAAAAUAUAAGUGUAGAAAAGUAUGAAGCAAGCUCCAUCAGAGAUACUCUGAUAUAUACCCUUUCAGUGUCCAUAUUCACAAAUAAAAAAAAAAAAUCCCCAAAUAUAGUAUCAUUGAUAUAUACUGUUACUUAGUCUUUUUUUAAAAAGUAAAAAAAAAAAACAAAACAUAGUUUGGCCAUCUUUUCGUAUCUGUAAAAAUAGCUCAAUGAAAGUACAGUAGAUACCAUUACACAUAUAUACCAUUUUAUGAAUGUAUUAGAGCUUUUAUUUUUCCAGAUGUUCAUGUGUUUCUACCUAUAAAGAUCAUACAUUGUGAUUGUGAAAAACCGAAGUAUUACAGAAAGUAAAAAUGCACAUGGUCUACUCUUUUUAACAAUAUGGUAGAUAUUUUUCCAGGAGCUUAAAAAAUGUAUCACAUACAUAAUAAUUAUAAAUAAAACUUAUAAACAUU